GCAAGUUUCGUAGCUAAAAAAGCUACGGUUUUGAGAUACGGAUUCUUAAUGCUGUAGUCCUGUCGAAAAUUCUUCAGUCUGUGGGCAUGUUAGGCCAGGUACACGGGAACUCUCUGGAGAGAUGCGGCCGGACGUACCUACAUGAUCCUACACUUUGUGCGACCUCUUGUCACGUCCCUAAGGAUUCGUAUUCCUAGUCACGCGUUUAAUCUCUCGAAACAUGCAACCGUCUUGCAGUGGUUUGAUGCUUUGGGACCAAAGUUUGCUAGGAAUAUUUGUACGUGUUGUGAGAGUAAAAAUGGGCAAAGGAAAAAAAAUUCACGGUAUAGAUGUUGGUCAUGGUAAAUUCAAGUUAUGUAGUUUUCGUAUGAACUCCAUGAGGAUGCAUGAUUGUACGAGGAUGUUGGAAAAAUGUAAACAAUAACUAAUAAUAACAACAAGGAAAAAGAAAACGCGUUGCUAAAGUGAAAAAGGGAGAUCUCGUUCGGUCAGGAUGUUCUUCACAGAGUGGAGGUUUCCCUGCUCGGUUGGCUAAGUAUUAAAAGUACGAUACGAAAGAAGAAUAAGCGAAGAACACGGUGCUGAUAGUAUUACAAUGUUUGAAAAUUAAUUUUAGUCCUUAAAUUGUAAAUAUCGACAAAUUGAUAUGUAUGAGACUUACUAAACACCUAAUUUAAUGGGACGAGUAACGUAAAAGAGGAAUAUUUUACUAAAAUCGUAUACCAGGAGCCUGGAUUUCGUGUUUUAAAUUUAUACACAAAAGUUUAUAUAUCAAUUUGAUAAUACUUUGUAACCCACUCUGUAUAUCAGCAAAAAAUAAAAAAAAAGAAAAAU